rnacentral:piRNA from 1 species
UNCAAUUGCUUGAUGCGGUGGUCCUUCUA